AUUGAACGCUGGCGGCAUGCCUUACACAUGCAAGUCGAACGGUAACGCGGGGCAACCUGGCGACGAGUGGCGAACGGGUGAGUAAUGCAUCAGAACGUGCCCAGUAGUGGGGGAUAGCCCGGCGAAAGCCGGAUUAAUACCGCAUACGACCUACGGGUGAAAGCGGGGGACUCGCAAGAGCCUCGCGCUAUUGGAGCGGCCGAUGUCAGAUUAGGUAGUUGGUGGGGUAAAAGCCUACCAAGCCGACGAUCUGUAGCUGGUCUGAGAGGACGACCAGCCACACUGGGACUGAGACACGGCCCAGACUCCUACGGGAGGCAGCAGUGGGGAAUUUUGGACAAUGGGCGCAAGCCUGAUCCAGCCAUGCCGCGUGCGGGAAGAAGGCCUU
rnacentral:rRNA from 1 species